rnacentral:rRNA from 1 species
CCUACGGGUGGCAGCAGUGGGGGAUAUUGCACAAUGGGGGGAACCCUGAUGCAGCGACGCCGCGUGGGUGAAGAAGCGCCUCGGCGCGUAAAGCCCUGUCAGCAGGGAAGAAAAUGACGGUGCCUGAAGAAGAAGCCCCGGCUAACUACGUGCCAGCAGCCGCGGUAAUACGUAGGGGGAUAGCGUUAUCCGGAUUGACUGGGGGUAAAGGGGACGCAGACGGCGAUGCAAGCCAGGAGUGAAAGCCCGGGGCCCAACCCCGGGACUGCUGUUGGAACUGCGUGGCUGGAGUGCAGGAGGGGAAGGUGGAAUUCCAGGUGUAGCGGUGAAAUGCGUAGAUAUCAGGAGGAACACCAGUGGCGAAGGCGGCCCGCUGGACUGCAACUGACGUUGAGGCUCGAAAGCGUGGGGAGCAAACAGGAUUAGAUACCCUGGUAGUC